AUGAAAGGUUCAAUGAGCAAUUCGGCAAGCAGGGUUGAUCAUGAAGAGAGAGAGAGAGAGAGUACUCCACUUGUACUGAAGAAAUACUGCACGAAUAUGGUUGGUUGUGCCUUGGAAGAAGUUGGAUUCGCCGCGUCCCAAGUCGAGAGGUACCCAUUGCGGAUAAUACUCGUAAACAAACAAAUCCACCGGCGAGAAAUGCUUCAUAUGCUUCUUUUUUUGUUCGGUCGAUUCAGCUUCCUGAAUCUUGAGUGGUUUUCACCAUUGGGAAAUUCAAGCGACGGAAGGGGUAUCUGUGCUUUUGCACAAAGGUAUAACCAUAUAAGUGCAAUAUAA
rnacentral:rRNA from 1 species